rnacentral:rRNA from 1 species
UACGUAGGUGGCAAGCGUUGUCCGGAUUUACUGGGCGUAAAGAGCGCGCAGGCGGUCGUGCAAGUCGCGUGUGAAAGCCCCCGGCUCAACUGGGGAGGGUCACGCGAUACUGCUCGACUCGAAGGCAGGAGAGGGAAGUGGAAUUCCCGGUGUAGUGGUGAAAUGCGUAGAUAUCGGGAGGAACACCAGUAGCGAAGGCGACUUCCUGGCCUGUUCUUGACGCUGAGGCGCGAAAGCUAGGGUAGCAA